CCUACGGGGGCUGCAGUGGGGAAUAUUGGACAAUGGGCGAAAGCCUGAUCCAGCCAUGCCGCGUGUGUGAAGAAGGCCUUCGGGUUGUAAAGCACUUUCAGUGGGGAAGAAAGCCUUGGGGCUAAUACCCUCGAGGAAGGACAUCACCCACAGAAGAAGCACCGGCUAACUCCGUGCCAGCAGCCGCGGUAAUACGGAGGGUGCGAGCGUUAAUCGGAAUUACUGGGCGUAAAGCGCGCGUAGGCGGUCUGAUAAGCCGGUUGUGAAAGCCCCGGGCUCAACCUGGGAACGACAUCCGGAACUGUCAGGCUAGAGUGCAGGAGAGGAAGGUAGAAUUCCCGGUGUAGCGGUGAAAUGCGUAGAGAUCGGGAGGAAUACCAGUGGCGAAGGCGGCCUUCUGGACUGACACUGACGCUGAGGUGCGAAAGCGUGGGUAGCAAACAGGAUUAGAUACCCCAGUAGUC
rnacentral:rRNA from 1 species